rnacentral:rRNA from 1 species
UACGUAGGGGGCUAGCGUUGUUCGGAAUUACUGGGCGUAAAGCGCACGUAGGCGGAUCUGUAAGUAGGGGGUGAAAUCCCCGGGCUCAACCCGGGAACUGCCUUCUAGACUGCAGACCUUGAGAUCAGGAGAGGCGAGCGGAAUUCCGAGUGUAGAGGUGAAAUUCGUAGAUAUUCGGAGGAACACCAGUGGCGAAGGCGGCUCGCUGGACUGAUACUGACGCUGAGGUGCGAAAGCGUGGGGAGCGAACAGG